rnacentral:rRNA from 2 species
UAGGGAAUCUUCCACAAUGGGUGCAAACCUGAUGGAGCAAUGCCGCGUGAAUGAAGAAGGUCUUCGGAUCGUAAAGUUCUGUUAUUAGUGAAGAACAAAUCGAGGAGUAACUGUCUCGAUUUUGACGGUAACUAACCAGAAAGUCACGGCUAACUACGUGCCAGCAGCCGCGGUAAUACGUAGGUGACAAGCGUUGUCCGGAAUUAUUGGGCGUAAAGGGAGCGCAGGCGGUUGGAAUAGUCUGAUGUGAAAGCCCACGGCUUAACCGUGGAAGGUCAUUGGAAACUGUCCAACUUGAAUGCAGAAGAGGUAAGUGGAAUUCCAUGUGUAGCGGUGAAAUGCGUAGAUAUAUGGAGGAACACCAGUGGCGAAGGCGACUUACUGGUCUGUGAUUGACGCUGAGGCUCGAAAGCGUGGGUAGCGAACAGG